CCCUUAGAUGGUCUGGGCGGCACGCGCGCUACAAUGAUGCAUUCAAAAAGUCUUCUGACCUUAGAAGGUUGGGUAUUCUCCAAAGUGCAUCGUGAUGGGAAUAGUUUAUUGCAAUUUUUAAUCUUGAACGAGGAAUUCCUAGUAAGUACAGGUCAUCAACUUGUGUUGAUUACGUCCCUGCCCUUUGUACACACCGCCCGUCGCUCCUACUGAUUGAGUGUCUCGGUGAAUUCUUUGAUCUUCUGUCGAUUCAGUUCACUGAUCCGACGGUGGAAAGUUGAAUGAACUUCGUCACUUAGAGGAGGGAGAAGUCGUAACA
rnacentral:rRNA from 1 species